rnacentral:rRNA from 1 species
AUACGGAGGAUCCGAGCGUUAUCCGGAUUUAUUGGGUUUAAAGGGUGCGCAGGCGGCCAUUUAAGUCAGCGGUUAAAUCGUGGGGCUCAACCCCAUUCUGCCGUUGAUACUGGGUGGCUUGAUUGCGGUCGAGGUUGGCGGAAUUCGUUGUGUAGCGGUGAAAUGCAUAGAUAUGACGAAGAACACCGAUUGCGUAGGCAGCUGGCCAGACCGCAAAUGACGCUCAUGCACGAAAGUGCGGGGAUCGAACAGGAUUAGAUACCCUGGUAGUCCGCACAGUAACCGAUGAAUACUUGUUUUCGGCGAUAUAAUGUCGGAGGCAAAGCGAAAGCGAUAAGUAUUCCACCUGGGGAGUACGCCGGCAACGGUGAAACUCAAAGGAAUUGACGGGG